GAGUUUGAUCGUGGCUCAGGACGAACGCUGGCGGCGUGCUUAACACAUGCAAGUCGAACGAGAAUCUACUGAAAGAGUUUUCGGACAAUGGAAGUAGAGGAAAGUGGCGGACGGGUGAGUAACGCGUGAGGAACCUGCCUUGAAGAGGGGGACAACAGUUGGAAACGACUGCUAAUACCGCAUGAUGCAUAAGGGUCGCAUGAUUCUUAUGCCAAAGAUUUAUCGCUUCAAGAUGGCCUCGCGUCUGAUUAGCUAGUUGGCGGGGUAACGGCCCACCAAGGCGACGAUCAGUAGCCGGACUGAGAGGUUGAACGGCCACAUUGGGACUGAGAUACGGCCCAGACUCCUACGGGAGCAGCAGUGGGGAAUAGUUGGGCAAUGGGCGCAAGCCUGACCCAGCAACGCCGCGUGAAGGAAGAAGGCUUUCGGUAUGUAAACUUCUAUCAGCAGGGAAGAAAAUGACGGUACCGACUAAGAACGCCCGGCCACUACGUGCCACGCCGCCG
rnacentral:rRNA from 1 species